CCCUUAGAUGUCCUGGGCCGCACGCGCGCUACACUGAUGCAUUCAACGAGUUUUACCUUGGCCGAGAGGCCUGGGCAAUCUUUUAAACCCGCAUCGUGAUAGGGAUAGAUUAUUGCAAUUAUUAAUCUUGAACGAGGAAUUCCUAGUAAACGCAAAUCAUCAAUUUGCAUUGAUUACGUCCCUGCCCUUUGUACACACCGCCCGUCGCACCUACCGAUUGAAUGGUCCGGUGAAGCCUCGGGAUUGUGGCCAGUUCACUUUAUUGGGAGUUGGCUGUGAGAACUUGUCUAAACCUUAUCAUUUAGAGGAAGGUGAAGUCGUAACA
rnacentral:rRNA from 1 species